GACGAACGCUGGCGGCGUGCUUAACACAUGCAAGUCGUACGGUAAGGCCCUUUCGGGGGUACACGAGUGGCGAACGGGUGAGUAACACGUGAGUAACCUGCCCACAACUUUGGGAUAACGCUAGGAAACUGGUGCUAAUACUGGAUAUGUGCUCCUGCUGCAUGGUGGGGGUUGGAAAGCUCCGGCGGUUGUGGAUGGACUCACGGCCUAUCAGCUUGUUGGUGGGGUAGUGGCCUACCAAGGCGGCGACGGGUAGCCGGCCUGAGAGGGUGACCGGCCACAUUGGGACUGAGAUACGGCCCAGACUCCUACGGGAGGCAGCAGUGGGGAAUAUUGCACAAUGGGCGCAAGCCGGAUGCAGCAACGCCGCGUGCGGGAUGACGGCCUUCGGGUUGUAAACCGCUUUCAGCAGGGACGAAGCUUUUUGUGACGGUACCUGCAGAAGAAGCACCGGCUAACUACGUG
rnacentral:rRNA from 1 species